CCUACGGUGGGCAGCAGUGAGGAAUAUUGGUCAAUGGGCGAGAGCCUGAACCAGCCAAGUCGCGUGAGGGAGUACUGCCCUAUGGGUUGUAAACCUCUUUUGUCGGGGAGCAAAAGCCGGACGUGUCCGGCUGUUAGAGUACCCGAAGAAAAAGCAUCGGCUAACUCCGUGCCAGCAGCCGCGGUAAUACGAAGGGGGCAAGCGUUGUUCGGAAUUACUGGGCGUAAAGGGAGUGUAGGCGGUUUAGUAAGAUAGUGGUGAAAUCCCAGGGCUUAACUUUGGAAUUGCCAUUAUAACUAUUAGACUAGAAUGACAGAGAGGAUAGUGGAAUACCCAGUGUAGAGGUGAAAUUCGUAGAUAUUGGGUAGAACACCAGUGGCGAAGGCGACUAUCUGGAUGGACAUUGACGCUGAGGCUCGAAAGCAUGGGGAUCAAACAGGAUUAGAUACCCCAGUAGUC
rnacentral:rRNA from 1 species